UGAUUUGUAUGGGCAGUUUAUGGUAAACUACCAUAUGAAUAACCAUGAUAGUACCAUAUCUAAAUUGAUCAAUAUAUUGGUAAUUAAGGGAUCUUAAAAAGUUCAGAGGUACAUACCUAGAGAGCCUAAAGAAAUAAGGACAUACCUUGAGAAGGCAUGUCAAAAUUGUUCAAAAUAGUUCUUAUGAUUUUCUCUUCUUCUAGUUGAGU
rnacentral:lncRNA from 1 species